GACGAACGCUGGCGGCGUGCCUAAUACAUGCAAGUCGAGCGAGCUUGCCUAGAUGAAUUUGGUGCUUGCACCAAAUGAAACUAGAUACAAGCGAGCGGCGGACGGGUGAGUAACACGUGGGUAACCUGCCCAAGAGACUAGGAUAACACCUGGAAACAGAUGCUAAUACCGGAUAACAACACUAGACGCAUGUCUAGAGUUUAAAAGAUGGUUCUGCUAUCACUCUUGGAUGGACCUGCGGUGCAUUAGCUAGUUGGUAAGGUAACGGCUUACCAAGGCAAUGAUGCAUAGCCGAGUUGAGAGACUGAUCGGCCACAUUGGGACUGAGACACGGCCCAAACUCCUACGGGAGGCAGCAGUAGGGAAUCUUCCACAAUGGACGCAAGUCUGAUGGAGCAACGCCGCGUGAGUGAAGAAGGGUUUCGGCUCGUAAAGCUCUGUUGGUAGUGAAGAAAGAUAGAGGUAGUAACUGGCCUUUAUUUGACGGUAAUUACUUAGAAAGUCACGGCUAACUACGUGCCAGCAGCCGCGGUAAUACGUAGGUGGCAAGCGUUGUCCGGAUUUAUUGGGCGUAAAGCGAGUGCAGGCGGUUCAAUAAGUCUGAUGUGAAAGCCUUCGGCUCAACCGGAGAAUUGCAUCAGAAACUGUUGAACUUGAGUGCAGAAGAGGAGAGUGGAACUCCAUGUGUAGCGGUGGAAUGCGUAGAUAUAUGGAAGAACACCAGUGGCGAAGGCGGCUCUCUGGUCUGCAACUGACGCUGAGGCUCGAAAGCAUGGGUAGCGAACAGG
rnacentral:rRNA from 1 species